rnacentral:rRNA from 1 species
AAGACCAGUGACCUGUUUACAAACAGGUCCGAAGCGCUUCUGACGUGCAAAUCGAUCGUCCGACCCAGGUAUAGGGGCGAAAGACUAAUCGAACCAUCUAGUAG